UGAGGAAUAUUGGUCAAUGGACGAGAGUCUGAACCAGCCAAGUAGCGUGAAGGAUGACUGCCCUAUGGGUUGUAAACUUCUUUUAUACGGGAAUAAAGUGAGGCACGUGUGCCUUUUUGUAUGUACCGUAUGAAUAAGGAUCGGCUAACUCCGUGCCAGCAGCCGCGGUAAUACGGAGGAUCCGAGCGUUAUCCGGAUUUAUUGGGUUUAAAGGGAGCGUAGGCGGACGCUUAAGUCAGUUGUGAAAGUUUGCGGCUCAACCGUAAAAUUGCAGUUGAUACUGGGUGUCUUGAGUACAGUAGAGGCAGGCGGAAUUCGUGGUGUAGCGGUGAAAUGCUUAGAUAUCACGAAGAACUCCGAUUGCGAAGGCAGCUUGCUGGACUGUAACUGACGCUGAUGCUCGAAAGUGUGGGUAUCAAACAGGAUUAGAUACCCUGGUAGUCCACACAGUAAACGAUGAAUACUCGCUGUUUGCGAUAUACAGUAAGCGGCCAAGCGAAAGCGUUAAGUAUUCCACCUGGGGAGUACGCCGGCAACGGUGAAACUCAAAGGAAUUGACGGGGGCCCGCACAAGCGGAGGAACAUGUGGUUUAAUUCGAUGAUACGCGAGGAACCUUACCCGGGCUUGAAUUGCAACUGAAUGAUGUGGAGACAUGUCAGCCGCAAGGCAGUUGUGAAGGUGCUGCAUGGUUGUCGUCAGCUCGUGCCGUGAGGUGUCGGCUUAAGUGCCAUAACGAGCGCAACCCUUAUCGAUAGUUACCAUCAGGUUAUGCUGGGGACUCUGUCGAGACUGCCGUCGUAAGAUGUGAGGAAGGUGGGGAUGACGUCAAAUCAGCACGGCCCUUACGUCCGGGGCUACACACGUGUUACAAUGGGGGGUACAGAGGGCAGCUACACGGCGACGUGAUGCUAAUCCCGAAAGCCUCUCUCAGUUCGGAUUGGAGUCUGCAACCCGACUCCAUGAAGCUGGAUUCGCUAGUAAUCGCGCAUCAGCCACGGCGCGGUGAAUACGUUCCC
rnacentral:rRNA from 1 species